AGCCACUGACUAACGCACAUUGUGCUUCUCGUGUCCCCACUGUGCGUGUGACAGCGGCUAA
rnacentral:pre_miRNA from 1 species